CCGAGGAGGGAGGGGGAAAAUCCGUGGGCCUUUUUCAGUCACGCCUGCGCGGUCGCCUCCUCCUCCUCCUCCUCCUCCUCCACGAGCUCCGUCUUGUGUCACGGGCGCUGACGACAGCAGCCGCCUCCGCAUCCCGUCGCCAUGGCAACCUUUUUGUUGCCUCCAACGCUCGAGUGGUCCAGCCGAGGAGGGGGGCAGCAAGGGCGGUAUAUAGACAAGGCUUGGGUGGGGGGGAAUCAGGGAAGGAAACUCCAGUUCCCCACCCAGAAAAGAGGAAGGCUGGAGAAAUCCUGCGGGAAGGAGAGGAACUGAACCAGGAGGACCGAAGCAAAGAGAUUUAUUAUAUUGUUUAAUGUAAAUUGUACAGACGCUGCUUUUACAGAGUGGGCUACUUGGAAGGAGGAGGGGAGGAAGAAAAGGCAAACCCACCUGGAAAAGGAGAAAUCCUUAGCCUUCUUCCACAAGGGAGAGAGCAGAUUUCUUGACAAAGAAGAGUUGGGGGAACUGUCCUGAAAGUCUCUGUUGAAAAACAGCACUGACUGCUGUUAUGUAUGCUGAACCAUCCACCAUGAAUUUCCGGAACCAUGGGUUCUUUCGCCGUUCUCCACCCACUUCAGUGGCGAAGCCAUCUCCUGUUGCUGGGAACACAUUGUCGGUCUUAGGAGGCAUUGCUCAAAUCUCUCCUUGUCUCUAUCUUUGCUCUGGCAAUGCUGCAUCGAAUAGACACAUGGUGUAUUCCCGGGCAGUGACCUGUGUAGUAAAUGCUACCAUGGAAAUCCCCAAUGCCAACUGGCCAGAUAUUGACUAUGUGAAGGUGCCUGUUCCGGACCUCCCUCACGCUCCACUGUCUUUGUACUUUGACUCCGUGGCUGAUAGGAUACACCAGACAGGGAAGAAGAAUGGAAGAACUCUAGUCCACUGCGUGGCAGGUGUCAGCCGGUCUGCCUCUCUCUGUAUUGCUUACCUAAUGAAAUAUCAUCGGUUGAGCCUUUUGGAUGCUCAUGAGUGGGUGAAGAGCAGGCGACCGGUUGUAAGGCCCAAUGUAGGUUUCUGGAGACAGCUCAUUGAAUAUGAACGCAAGCUGUUUGGCAAGAACACCGUCAAGAUGGUGCCUUCACCCAUUGGGUUGGUUCCAGAUGUCUAUGAAAAGGAGACCCGUGGGCUGGUCCCCUUGUGGAAUUUGAGAUAAAGACUAUCAUUGAAAUGGGCUAUGGGCCACCUUAACUUAGAAUGAAAAAGUUCCAUCAUGUUAGGAUGUUUAACAGGACUGUUCAAUGUGGUGGAUCUUAAUAAGAAAUUCUGUUUAAUGGUAGUCUUUUUCUAAGAUCUCGCAAUAUGAGUACAGUAGAUCAUGGAAAAGAAAUGAGUUGCUUGAACUUUUCAGUGUGAUAAGACAAUGUUGUUUGUUAUCAUCCUAUCAAACAUUGCUAAGAAUCUGUAUCUUGCUUACAGUCUGAGAUGAGAAAUGGUUAAACACAAACGUACAGGCAGUAAAGAUUAUUGUACUAUCACAGAUUCCAAGGUCUUGCUACAUUAAUCUUUGCAUAGUAAGGAGAAAUAUCUUUCUCUUUUCCUUCCCCUUCUGCUUCAAGAGUUUCAGAAAUCCUUCCUUGGGUUUGCUUUAACUUGAAUAAGCCCAAUACACUUUCCUUUCUGGAAUGUUAAGCCCUAAGGCGAUGUGAAUUAAAACAAUGAUUCAUCCAAAGAUUCAGGAUUUUGAGGAAUGCACCUAAACUAAACAGCAAUAGCCAAGAAGCUGAGGAUGGCACAACUAUCACCAAUAGGAAUAAGAUGUCAAAUCUACAAGGGAAUGUUAUUUCAUACAUACAUUCACUAAGCAGGUUGCAACUUGGCCAAGGUAUUCCACUCUUGUGGGGAAGAUAGGAAUUUUUGAAUAUUGGCUCAGGUUAACUCCAACAGGGUGAUAUAAUUGGAUAGGGGUUCGAAGAACAAAUAUGCCAAUCAAGCCUUCUUCAUACCCCUUGUUAAGAUUCAAAAGUAUGUAUCAGGGAAGUUUUUUCAACACACUGCACCUUAAAAAAGUGAAAAAGAGAACAUCUUGAAAGUUAACACUUUCAGUCAGGCUAGAAGUACGACUUCAAAAAUGUUUAAAACUAUAUAGUGAACAAGUAAUAGAGUCAUAAUUUGGUGUCAGCAAGCAGUCCUGUCGUUUUGAUUAUGUGAUUUGUAGUAUUUUGUAACAGGAUUCCUAAGUAAAGCCUUUUUAAUAAUAUAAAUAGGAAGGUGUAUCCAGAAUUGAGCGAAUAUCGAGGUCUAAGAGUGGCACUGUGUUUCUUAACUUUGGCAGGUUUAAGAUACAUGGACUUCAACUCCCAGAAUUCCCCAGCCAGCCAUGCUAGCUGGGAA